rnacentral:rRNA from 1 species
AACGAACGCUGGCGGCAUGCCUAACACAUGCAAGUCGAACGAUGCCUUCGGGCAUAGUGGCGCACGGGUGCGUAACGCGUGGGAAUCUGCCCUUGGCUUCGGAAUAACAGUUAGAAAUGACUGCUAAUACCGGAUGAUGUCCCCCUGAGAGAUCUUGGGGACCAAAGAUUUAUCGGCCAGGGAUGAGCCCGCGUAGGAUUAGGUAGUUGGUGGGGUAAAGGCCUACCAAGCCGACGAUCCUUAGCUGGUCUGAGAGGAUGAUCAGCCACACUGGGACUGAGACACGGCCCAGACUCCUACGGGAGGCAGCAGUGGGGAAUAUUGGACAAUGGGGGGACCCUGAUCCAGCAAUGCCGCGUGAGUGAUGAAGGCCUUAGGGUUGUAAAGCUCUUUUACCAGGGAUGAUAAUGACAGUACCUGGAGAAUAAGCUCCGGCUAACUCCGUG